GUGGGUUCUAAUCACAUUAAUCAUUAACUUUGUCUUGGGGCAACUCACUUAACAAAUUCUAGUCUCAAUUUGUAAGUUUAAGUUGAAACUAGAUGAGAACCAGAUUUCUUACAGGCCUUCCCAGCUCUGUAGAAAUAUUGAAAAGAAAAAUUACGGUGAAAACGAGUUUACCUGUUAUUAUGUCCCCAUGGCACUCACAUUACCUCUGUUCAUUCUAGGACUGCGUCGGACCAGCUGGGAGUCCGGCCCUGCGGUAGGCCAGGGGAUGUGAGGAUGAAGUACACGCGCCCUUGAGAGCUGCUAUUCCAGGUCCCCGCUCCUGUUAAAGGGUUAGCUGAGGUGACUGCGUGCAGGAAAUCACAGCAGAAGCACAGCACGCUUGCUGCCCUGAAAUGCCACUCUGUUUUCUGCUCUGGGGCUCUGGGGAUACAUGUUGAAAACCUGCAACGAAUAAACAGCAGAACCCACGACAUGAAGCCAAAAUCUCCUCUUUCAUCAUCAUUUUGCACCAGUAACAAAAGUGAAGUGAGAAGAGAGUCCAGGUCAAUGAAAAAUAUACAGCAACCUCAGCAAACCAGAAAGUGAGGAGAAGUUCCUCAAUUUGAAGAAUACCUACAAAAAACCCGACAGCACUUGGUUUCAUGAUGAGAAACUAGAAGAAACUAGAAGCUUUCCCACUGAGAUCAGGUACGAGGCAGGGAUGUCCCUCUCACCACUCUUUGUCAGCAUCAUACUGGGAUUCCCAGCUAAUGUGAUAAGGCAGGAAAGGAAACAAGAAGUGCACAGAUUAGGAAGGAAAAAAUAAAACUGUCUCUGUUUGCA
rnacentral:lncRNA from 12 species